GGAAGUAAUCUCCGUUGGUGAACCAGCGGAGGGAUCAUUA
rnacentral:rRNA from 1 species